rnacentral:lncRNA from 1 species
UGGGAAGUUUUGUUUUAUAAAUCCAGGUUCAGAGUUGUUCAUGAUCCUGUUAUUUCCUUGGUAGGUAAUCUGUUGGAGUAAUUGUUUACUUUUUAUUCUGAUCCCCUCAGCAAUAUAUGAUGAUGUUCUGAGAUGCUCAGAUAGCAAAUGCAUCAUUCAAUUUUCCUUUGAGAAAAGGUCACAGCACUUGGGGCUUUUUAUUUUAGAAAAAAAAGGCAGGGGGGCAUGAUAGAUUUGUAUAAAAUUAUGCACAGCGAGGAGAAAGAUAAGUUUUUCUCCCUCUCUCAUAAAGUUAGAACCUAGCGCCAUUCAGUGAAUCUAAAUGUUGAACAAUUCAGGACAAAGAGAUGAAGUGAUGGCCACUAAACUGGGUUGCUUUAAAAGAGGAUUAGACAAAUUCAUGGAGGAUAAGACUUUUAAUGGCCACCGUUGGAAGUGGUAUUGAACUGGGUGGUGUUCCCCCACCCAUCCCUUGCAUCCUCCAGCUGUAGAGCUUCCCCUCCUGCCUGCUGAAAUCCCUGCUGGCAGAAACCAAAUGAAAGUCCCAAAACAGGUUGUCCCAGGGCAGGAAGGGUGAGAGACUGAGUCCGCCCAGAAUCCCUUGGAUCCCCAACUGCCAUCACAUCUUGAAACUAGGCCUGAUCCAAGCCUAAUCACUGCACUAGGUCCAGGCUGGCACAGUGAUUUGCCUCCCCCCACAACCACCACCUCCAACCCUGGCCAGGGAUCACAGCAGGGCUGUGAACAUGGCAGUAGUUCCACUGCUCCAUUAAGCACCCCCUCUCCCUAGGCAGCAGCCAGGGGUUGGAUUGCACCCUUAGCCUUGUAUUGAAAGCAGCACUAAGCAACUGUUCGACCAGUGCAAGGAUCAGUGCCAGAUUUACGUAUAAGCUAAACAAGCUACAGUUUAGGGCCCCACUCUCUUGGGGGCCCCCAAAAAAAUUAAAGGGAAAGAAAACUGGAUGUACAGUUGCAAAAUAUAAGAGAAAAACCAAAUAAAACCUACAUACAGCAACAGUGUUUUGUGUUGCAUAGGCUCCUAUGACGUAAGUAAUGGGCCCUGCCUGCUAGCCUGCUCCCUAAAAUAUCACUGGUUUGCUCAUUUCUAUAUAUAGGGUGCCUACAUUCUGCAUGGACUGGUUACAUGACAACGUAUGCAAAUGGCACACGUCUAGAUACCUAUUAGGUCCAUAAAUUACCAUAUAUUCAACUCAAGAAACAGCAACAAUUUGUUACAAUUUGUUGUUGACAAAGGAUAGCUGGACAUAUAAAGGGCCCCAUUACCUUAGGGCCUUAGGUAGCUUAGGGCCUCAUCAAACCUAAAUUCAGCCCUGGGAAGGAUUCCCACUUGCACAACUCCUUUGCCUCUCCGUAACCUCCCCAAAUUUGCUUGCGACGGGGGGGGGGGGGAGGCAAAACAGAUUGUGGGUGGCAGGAAGGAGAGUAGGGAAAAUCUUGUUGCACAUGCUUAACUCCAUGUGCUGACAGGAUGGUUAAUAAGCAUUCUUUUGGACACAAGUCUUACUGUAUGCUAUUUUGUAUGCUAGUCUGAUUGUUGAUUUGCACACAGACAUUUCUGGACUGAACUCAUUGUGAUCAGGACUGUAAAAUCAUUAUUCAUAAGACCAAAUGGUGCAGGAAGUAGGUUUUACGGACAGGAAUCCCAAAUUGUUUCAUUGUGUAACUUGAUGUUUAUAGCAGCCUUUCAAAACGUGCAUGUAAGGUAGGCCUGUUUCAUUAUCCUCAAUGUACAAACCAGGCAGUAGCAGAAGUUGAAACCUAAAAUAAAUGCAGUUUGUGGAGAUCACAGUAUAUAUAUAUAUAUAUAUAUAUAUAUAUAUAUAUAUAUAUAAUCAAAUAAUAUUAUACCAGAAUAUGGAUCGAAAUCUCUUUAUGUUGCAACUCCCCCUAGUGGGAAAUAAUUUAUCAUUUUAAUAUGUAUCCACUGCUAACAACAUGAAUUUUCCUUUUCAAUAAAAAUGUACCGUAAUCAUCAGUCCUUUUCAUAUAUUUGGGUAAUCACUGACACAGACAAACUUCUUCUGAGAUUGACACAUAUUUUUGAAAGCAGAAUUAAUUUCAGUUGUGUAGCGAUUACUGCUGGACUGUUAAAUGUAUUCAGAAACAAUUAUAAACAGGCCUUGAACACUGAAAAGGAGCAAUAACAUAAUACUUAGUAACAAGCUUUUUCUCCCCAUAUGAAUUUGCAGAACAUAAAAUGUCUACUAAUCAGCGGCAGAUGAUGUGAGAAAGUGGCAGGACUCACCUUACCGCUGAUCUGUCAUGCUGUGGCUGCUGCUUACCAAGAGGCAAAAGGGGUAGGGCAAGGGCACUGUGGGGCACAAGCACUGUGGGGCUGCCAGAUUGGCGCCGCUGGUGCAUCUGCCCCAUGCUGAUCUCCUCUUCCCAGUCAGCAGCAGCAACAUGACCAGCUGAAGGUCAGGUGAGCAUCACUACCAUGCUACACAUCCACUACCACUAUAAAGGCUUUGCAUUCAAUAUAAUAUCUAAAGCUGCUUUAACAAGAGACACUUGCAUUUUUGUUCAUUUCCUACCUCGCUGCAAUGAUGGCCAGCAGUGAUAAUAGUAAAGUGAAAUGGGUUGGAUCCAGAUGCCUAGAGCAUCUUGAAAUCAAGCCCUAUUUAUUUCAGUGGACUUGUGUAGCCUCUUCUGUAAUAGAAAACAAAGGGAGUGUAAUUUUAGUUUGUAGCAAAGAUGGGUUGGAUCCAGACUCACACAUGCUUAAAGUACGGUUCAUUUCAGUGGGUCUACUCUAAGCAUGACCAAGUCUAGAGCCAUCCCACUAUGAAAGCGCUCUAAAAGUCAAGCCUUUUUUAAUUAUUGUAGUUCAGCAUCACUUCUUUAUGUGAGCUGGUGUCUUUAAAUGGCAUGCAGGUGUCCUAAACAUUGUACAGUUUGUGCAACAUAUACUGUAGGAGAAAAUAUUUAAAUAGUUUUCAAGUCUGAAACAUACUUUUAAAGAGCCAUCUCACACUUUUUUUUAAAGAUGGACUUGUAAAACAUGUGCUGCUGCAUUUUUAUAAAUCACUUUUCAUUAAAAAAAAAAUCAGUGUGCUUUACAGUACCUAAUCAAACAAUAGCAUUGCAUUCAACAAAACAAUUUGGUUGACUGACAUUCAAUGCCCUCUUAAAAUGUGUUUUGCGGGUGGCUAUUGGGUUGUUCUUGUUUUUAUUUUGAUUACGUAUUCUGUGUUUUUAUAUUGUGAUUUCAUCCUGUGAACCUCCCUGAGACCUGCAGGUAUAGGGCAAUUUAAUAAUAAUAAUAAUAAUAAUAAUAAUAAUAAUAAUAAUAAUGGUGCACAUCAUAGAAACAGUCCAGCAGCAGGUUGCACAAUACAAAUAACCUUGCAUAGAUACCAGGAUGUUCCAAAGGCCUGGAUAAAUAGAUGGAUCUUUAGCUGAUGAUGAGAAUUCAGCACCGAAGAAGGCUGAACCCACCCAAGGGCUGGAAGUUCCACAUGGUUCCUUGGUAAGUAUAUGCUAGUGGGAAACAAGGGUUUGUUGUGCAAUGCAUCAUUGGGAAUGCUAUAUAAAAACACUUUAACUGCAUAAACACUAGGUGGCAGAGUAAGUACAGAAAAAUCUAAAUGUUAGGUGCUAUUUCUAAACUUUACAGCAAUUUGCACAAGUCAAUAUAUUAGGGUACACUUUUUAAAUUUGUAGUAAUCUUUUUCCCCGUUUGUUUUUCUCUUCCAGAAAUGCUCCUGAUCAGGUGUGAAACUUCAGGUUUUGUCAUUCCUCUCCAAAAAGCAAAACAUAUGGGACAUAUUAAAGCUUACAAGGAACGCAGAAUAGAAUGUCAGAACUGAGUUCGCACAAUGCUACUUAAACAACACAUUCAUAUUUACUGUAUAUGCGGGGUUUAAUCCUGUAUGCACUUACCCGGG